rnacentral:lncRNA from 1 species
UACUUUUUGAAGUUCCCCCUUCUUGGGGGAAAAAACUUAUUCUCAUAGAACCAGUUUAAAGAAUGGAUCAAGAAACCCUGUGUUCUGAGAUUUACUAAGAAAGAAGAUGUGCUGUUCCAAAAUUUCCUCUAAGUUGAAAAAAAUUAGAAGCAUUAGAUCAAAUAGUGGUCAAUACCCAGUAUCCAACAUUUUUAUAUCUGUAGAUGGGAAUAAAGGAAAAUUAUAGGGUAGUUGGAGGACGAAAAUGAGAUCAUACAUUUGGAACUCUGUCUGGCAUCUAAUAAAUGCACAAUAAAUGUCAGCAAUGAUUAGCAAAUAAAUUUACCUUAAAUCACCAAAAUCAGAUGGCACCCUUAAAAGCACUGAGGUAUAAAAUCAGGGAUGUGUGGCCAAAAUGUAAAUUUUGACUUGUUAUGAGUCCCAUGCCAGAAAACUAGAAGACCACAAAUGUAAUCUAGGUUAAAUAAAUCCAGAAAGAAUCCAAGAAUUUUAAAUCAUUACGUGACAUUUUUAUUCUAGACAAGCUACCAGGUUAUACUUAAUGACAUAUUGGAAUAUCACUUUUUAAAGAACACAUGAGGCAAUAAAAUAUUUUUAAAAUAUGGCUUCUCCAGAAAAAUAUUUCAAAAAUUAUGUUAUGAAUAAAUUAGUGACAUGUUUAAGGGGCUAAAAAGACUUAAGCAUAAAGAAUUUGUUGAUAUCAUCUACUGAGAAUUUCAAAAGGCCUCUGACAAAGUUUCACACAAGUUGUUUUCAAAAUCUAGUUGUGCUGUACUGAAGAGUCUGUUUUUCCUUAUAAAGGGUUUAAAGAUAAGAAACAAAGGGUGUACAUAAGUGAAUUGUCCUCUGAAUACAAAUAGAUGACUAAGAAGGUUCUGUAAGGACUUCAUGAGUUAAUAAUUAACUUGGAAGAGAGAAAACAAAGCAAAUUAUUUCUGUUUGAGGGAUGAUACUAAGUCAUUUUGGGUAGCUGACAUAAGAAUAGACUUCUGAAAGAUCUCAUUUGCCUUUGAAAAUAAAAAAAAAAAUCAUCAAUGGUGGACAAAUAUAAGGCAUUGCAUUUUUGUGUUACAAGAGUCCAAGCUAGAUCAAUAGGACUCUAGUUUCUGGUAAUGGAGGAAUGGCUCUUAUUGAGCCAAAUAUUCUUCAGAUAACAACUUUGAACCCUGGGAAAAAAUAUAGCAACUAUCUGAAGGCCCUGGAAAGCAAACAAAAACAGGCAAAAACAGGAUACUGUCUAUUCUUGGAAAGAGGACAUGGCAUGGGCUAAGUUUUUCAUUUUUUCUCAACUUGUUUAACUGAGAGCAGACCCCAAUUUAUGCCAGGUAGAGUGGCUAAAACUUGGCCAGAAAAUCCACAGUCCUACAGGCUUGAAAAAAAUCAGAGGACAAGUUUCAAGAGGACUGCAACAGUUUGAAAUUGAAGACGAAACCAAAAGCUGUGUAUAUAAUAUCUGUAGAAAUGUCCAAGACACAAACAAAAAUUACUGGACAUGUGAAGAAAUAAGAACCAAUACCCAACCAAAGAUGACCCAGAUAUUGAAAUGAACAAAGAUUUGAAAGCAGCUUUUAAACUAUACUUGACACAAUAAAGGAAAAUAUGCUCAAGUGAAUAAAUAAGGAAUGCCAGAGAGAAAUAGAAAAUGUUGAAAAUAACCAAAUUGAAAUCAUAGAACGGAAACAUUAAUAUCUGAAAUAAGAUAUCCACUGGAUAGGCUUAACAGGAGAUUAGAGAUGACAGAAGAAAGUUCUAGUAAACUUAAAGAUAGUUUCAUAUAAGCUAGACAAUAUGAAGAAUUAUAUGCUCUCUGUAAGAAACCUACUUAAAAUAUAAAGAUGCAGAUAAUUUUUUGUUUUGUUUGUUUGUUUUGCUUUUUAGGGCAGCAUCUGUGGCAUAUGGAGGUUCCCAGGCUAGGGGUUGAAUCAGAGCUGCAGCUGUCAGCCUACACCACAGCCACAGCAAUACAGGGUCCGAGCUGUGUCUGUGACCUACACCACAAUGCCGUAUCCUUAGCCCACUGAGGAAGGCCAGGGACUGAACCCACAUCCUCAUGGAUACUAGUAAGGUUCAUUACUGCUGAGCCACAACAGGAACUCCGAGAUACAGUUUAAAGUAAAAAGAUGGGGAAAAGGCUAUAAAAUGCCAAGCUAAUUAUAGAAAAUUUAAGCAGCUUUGUUAAUAUCUAACGAAGCAAACUUCGGAGCAAGGAAUAUUAUCAAGGAUAAAGGUCGUAAUGAUUAAUGAGGUAAGUGCAAGAUGACAAAUUCUCAGUGUGUAUGCACAAAAUAACAAAAGCUUAAAACACACGGAGCAAAUAUUGAUAAAAUUAGAAGGGGAAAUCGACACAUCUACAGUUAUACAGGAUUAUAACAAAAUGUCAAUAGUGCCAAGUUUGAGAAACCCUGCUCUAUUCAUAAAGUUCUCUCAGAGAGAGAGAGAGAGAGAGAGGAAAGUGAUCAAUACUGAGACUGAAAGAGAAGACAACACUUCAAAUCCCACAGGCAUUCAAAGGAUAAUAAGUAACUAUUAUUAACAAUUUUAAACCCAAUAAAUUUUACAAUUUAGAUGAAAUGGAGAAAUUCCUCGAAAGAAGUAACAAACUACUAGGACUCAUUUAAGAGAAAUAGAUAUGCUUUUCUAGCCUAUAUGAUUAAAGGAAUGAAAUUCAUAGCUUAAAUAUUUUCCAUAAAGAAAACCCAGGCCUGGAGUUCCCAUUGUGGCUCAGCAGUUAAUGAACCCAACUACCAUCCUUGAGGAUGCAGGUUUGAUUCCUGGCCUCACUCAGUGGGUUAGGGAUCUGGUGUUGCUGUGGCAGUGGUGUAGGCUGGUGGCUACAGCUCCAUUUGGACCCCUAGCCUGGGAACCUCCACAUGCCAUGGGUGUGGCCCUAAAAAGACAAAAGACAAGAAAGAAAGAAAGAAAGAAAGAAAGAAAGAAAGAAAGAAAGAAAGAAAGAAAGAAAGAAAGAAAGAAAGAAAGAAAGAAAGGAAGGAAGGAAGGAAGGAAGGAAGGAAGGAAGGAAGGAAGGAAGGAAGGAAGAAAGAAAGGAAGAAAAGAAAAGAAAACCCCAUGCCCAUGCUCACAUUGGUGAAGCCUAUCAAAUAUUUAAGAAAUAAUUCCAGAUCUAUGUAAACCCCUUGAGAAAUAAAAGGAGAAAGAAUAUUUUACAAGACAAUCAUUGCAGUGAUACUAAAACCAGAUGUAUACGUUAAAAGAAAACUAAUAUCCUUCAUGAAUACUGAUUCAAGCUGCUUAAGAAGGUUUCGUAUGCUAAAUCUAGCUAUAUAUAAAAAAUUAUAAUAUAUCAUAAUCAAGUGGGCUCUAUCCCAGGAAUGCAAUUUUGGUUUUAGCAUUUGUAAAUCAAUCAGUGAAAUUCACCACGUAAACAGUAUAAAAGAGAAAAACCACAUGAUUGUCUCAAUAGAUGUAGUAAAACAUUUGAUAAAAUUCAACACUAUUUAUGAUUAAAAUUUCUUCUCAGCAAACUAGGUAUAGAAGAAAACAUUCUCAGUCUGAUAAGUGGGCACCUGUAAAAACUUACAGUCACCAUCAGCUUUACAAUGAAAGACUGAAUGCUUUCCCAGUAAGAUUGGUAACAAAGUAAGAAUGUUCCCUCUAAUUACUUCUAAACAACCAUGUAUUUGAGGUCCUAGUCAGGGCAAUAGGCACUAAAAUAAAGAAAAAUAAAAUAAAAUUCACAUAAAUCUGAAAGAAGUAAAACUGUUUUCAUUCACUGAUGACAUAAUUGACAAUGUAGAAAACCCUAAGGAAAUUACCUCCCUCCAAAACAAACAAACAAACAAACAAAACCCAAGUGAGUUUAGCAAAGGCAUAUGGGAAAAAAAUCAAUGAAAUUGUUCACUAAAUCUAAAAAUCAAGGGAGGAUGAAAUCUUCUAAACUCAAAGGAGAUGUGUUUAUAGCAAUUUAAAGCAUAAGUAACCAUAAAAGUUAACAAAUUAUUGGCAUGAUUUAGCAGCUAUUUUUCAACAGCAGGAAAAAAAAUAGCUGCUAAAAGAAAAUGAGAAAAACCUUGAGGGUUGAUUUCAGAGAGGUGUAUCAAUGUUUGCUUUGGGGGUGGGGCUGGUUAAAUAAAAUUCAGCCAAGAUCUUCCACCACCACUAACAACAAAACUGUGAACAAGAGGAGCGACUGAUCUGAUCCAACAUCAGAAAAAGUGGUUUAGUGAAGCAAUUAAGGAAGUAUUUAGCCUCUGGAACUGGCUUUGCAGGGGCUCUAUUCCUGCCUUAGCCCACUUACUAGCCAGAUGACUUUGGGUAAUGUUCCUUAACCACUUUGCUUCCAUUUCAUUAUCUCUGAAGUGGAAACAGUCAUAGUUCUUACUACAUAGGGUUAAGAGAAGUGAAAGAGUUAACAAGUGUAAAGCAUUUAGAAUAGUACCCUUCAGCCACUGUACCUAUAAGCCACUAAGAUCCCGCCAUAUAGCACAGAGAACUAUAGUCAAUGGCCUAUGAUAAGCCAUCAUGGAAAAGAUGGUGGGGAAAAAAAAGAAUUAUAUAUAGAUAUAUAAUUCAUAUAUAUUUAAAUCAAUUUUCUGUACAGCAGAAAUUAACACAUUAUAAAUGAACUAUACUUUUUUUGUGUGUUUGUUUUUUAGGGCCGCAUCUAAGGCAUAUGGAAGCUCCCAGGAUAGGGGUCGAAUCUGAGCUGUAGCUGCAGGCCUACGCCACAGCCACAGCAACUCAGGAUCCAAGCCACGUCUGCGACCUACACCACAGCUCAUUGCAACGUGGGCUCCUUAAUUCACUGAGCGAGGCCAGGGAUCGAACCCA